CUCUCUCACUUCAGCGUGCCAAGCUUCAUUUCCUCCUGUGAGACAGCCAUGCCCUGAGAAUAAGUGGAUGACACUCAGACAUUGUUUUCGUGUGCUGGUGAUGUGCUGGUAGAGCUGACCCUUAGUACAGCUUCCUACUCUGACAGCCAGGGGCCGUGAGGGGCCGUUAAGGGCCAUGUGGGCCCGGCUGCAGCUGCUCCACUCUCCUUGCCCACUCAGCAGGCACACUGUGCCCUUUGAGCCCACCUGCCAUUCAAUCCAGCACAGAUGUGCCCUCAGCUGUUCUCUGUGCCAUUACUGCUCCCUGCACUUUUUAUCCUGCACCUCGGAGACCCCAAACUGCCAAACGAGGUGAAUUAUGGCCAGUUAUAUGGAGUGGACUCUGAGCCACGGGGGACAGGACAUAGUCAGAAGAACUAACCACAGUUCUGACCAUUAAAAGC